rnacentral:lncRNA from 1 species
GUUGAGAUGCUUCCUUUUUAAACAUUUAAAGCUUUCAGUCUGUGUGUGUUUGUUAUAUUUACACAUGUGCUAAUCUUCCUGUUUUGUCAGCAUGUUCUGAGGGAACUGAGAUUUUCAGGAAUGUGUCCAUUGAGGAGGCGUUAAAAAAUGUGACCAAGGAGAGGGACGAGCUCAAGCAGAAACUUGAACAAUAUGGAAUGCAACUUACCAGUUUAAGACGUAAACAAGUUAUUCUGCAGACACAAGUGAAUCUCUAUGAUCACUAUCUGAAAGAAAAUUGGAUCUAUUUUAAUGGAAGCUUUUAUUAUAUUUCCACAAACGAGACAUCCUGGCAAAGAAGCCGAAAUGACUGUUUGGGAAAAGGUGCAGAUUUGAUCAUCAUUGACAGCAGAGAAGAAAAUGUAAGAGCAAACAUUUUAGACUUAUAUUCUGUUGAAAACAUGUACCAAUCCAUUCCAAAAAUAAUUGGAAAAUCAUGGAAAGCUUUAAU